AUCCCAAUCUAAUAUAACUUUUCCACCAAUUGAAUUUUUCUUUCAUUUUUUUCUUUUGGUCAUAUUUCAUCAUUCUUCCCUAGCAAGAGAUGUAGGACUUGGGGAACUGUCCCUUUUACCGGUAUUAUCGAAUCAAACACGCUGAUUUUGCUUAUAGUACACACCCUUUACGCCUCAAUGGCCAACCCCAUAUCUUUCAUCUCUCCAUAAAAUCUCGUUUCAGCUCUUCCCACAGCCAUUCAUUUGGGAUCUCUGUUUCCAUAUCGACUUCGUACAGAGUUGGAUCGAGGCAAAGAGAAAAUAUCUGAUUAGACGCCUCCGUAUUUACAUACACUUAUUGAGGAAUUCGCAGGAUACAAAUGACAUGUCAUUAGGAUUACCGAUUUGGUUGGGGUCAUGCAUGUGUUGCGGACACACCAUAGCUCGCAUGAGCUUCCCGUUACUCAGCUCGCAUAAGCUUCCCGUUAUUCAGCUCGCAUGAGCUUCCCAUUAUACAACUCGGAGGAGCUUACUAUUUACAGCUCGUAUGAGUAUACAUGUAUAUGAAUUGACGAAUUACAGUUAAGUACACUUCAUGUGUACUACCCGUGUAUCCAACGAUAUUCUAAAUGGUUCAACGGGUACAGUUCUGUUACGAGAUUAUAUGAGUUCGAUAUGAACUAUUACUAGUAUUUACAUGAAAUACAUGAAAUAUGAUUAUUUGAUGAAUUCAACCAUGUGUGUUGGAUCUUAUAUGUGAUUUUCAUGGCUAAUAUGUUGGUGAUCAUGUGUUUAGGCUUUUGGCCAAAUUGGUUGAGAUAUGCUUUGUUUACUUACCUAUUUUACGGAUAUAUGGUAAGUUAAAUUCUGUUUUAUACGAACUUACUAAGCUUAAAUGCUUACUCUGUGUUAUUUUCUAUGUUUUAUAGUAAUUUGGAAGCUCGUACGAGUUGGAAGCUUGUCGGAGCUAUAUCACACUAUCCAUCGGCUCUUUUGGUACUUUUGGUUAAUUAAUUCCGAUUAUAAUGGCAUGUAUAUGUUAAUUUUACCAAUGUUGGCAUAUAAUUGUUUUGUUGAGAUUAGCCAUUUAUAUGGCUUGUGUUUGGUAUAUUUUGAUGUGUAUAUAUGAUGCCUUAUCAUAUUUGAUGUGUGUUUGAUAUGGUAGAAUGAAAGAAAGUAAAAUGUGGUUUGAAAAUGCAUAUAUGUAUUUGGUAAUUUAGGUAAGUUUGAAUACUUGGUUGA